GGAAUUUUGGACAAUGGGCGCAAGCCUGAUCCAGCCAUGCCGCGUGAGUGAAGAAGGCCUUCGGGUUGUAAAGCUCUUUCAGCCGGAAAGAAAUCGCACUUGCUAAUACUAAGUGUGGAUGACGGUACCGGAAGAAGAAGCACCGGCUAACUACGUGCCAGCAGCCGCGGUAAUACGUAGGGUGCGAGCGUUAAUCGGAAUUACUGGGCGUAAAGCGUGCGCAGGCGGUUUUGUAAGACAGAUGUGAAAUCCCCGGGCUUAACCUGGGAAAUGCAUUUGUGACUGCAAGGCUAGAGUACGGCAGAGGGGGGUAGAAUUCCACGUGUAGCAGUGAAAUGCGUAGAUAUGUGGAGGAAUACCGAUGGCGAAGGCAGCCCCCUGGGUCGAUACUGACGCUCAUGCACGAAAGCGUGGGGAGCAAACA
rnacentral:rRNA from 1 species